rnacentral:rRNA from 1 species
AUGGUGGUCGAUGCCCUUGCGGUCAUCCUAGAUAAGGCCAAGGCUUGCGGUCAUAUUCGGGGCGUUGUCCCUCACCUUGUUGGCGCUGGAGGGGUCUCCCUCCUCCAGUAUGCGGAUGACACCAUUAUCAUGGUUGAAGGCUCCGUGUCCGACAUCGCCAACCUGAAGUUCCUCCUCUUAUGCUUCCAACAAAUGUCCGGACUCACCAUUAACUUCGACAAGAGCGAAGUGAUGGUCCUUGGCUACAACCCGGACGAAGCCUCGUCCAUUGCGGACCAGCUUAACUGCCGCCUGGGCACCUUCCCCACCACUUACUUGGGGGUGCCCAUUAGUGACUCCAGACUCACCGUCGUGGAUCUUCGACCGAAGGUGACUAGGAUGUAGCGCAGGGUUGAACCCUGGAGGGGUCACUGGCUGUCGAAAGCCGCCAGGGUGAUCCUUAUCAAUUCCUCGCUUGCGAGCCUCCUCUGGUUCCUCUUGAGCUUCUACUGCCUUCAUGAGACCCUCCACCAGGAGGUGGACAAAUACCAGUCGAGGUUCUUCUGGGUUGGCGCGGACGACAAACAGAAGUACCAUAUGGUGAGCUGGUCCGACAUCUACAAGCCCAAAGACCGGGGGGUCUCGGGAUCCUCUCUUCCCGACGCAUGA